AUUUUUGUGGCUGAGUUCAGGCGGUAGAUUGUAAAUCUUCUUACGGCUUUUUGCCCAGAGCUA
rnacentral:tRNA from 1 species